ACCCCAUAUGGUGCAGUGAUCAGCAUAUUGGAUUUUCAGGCAACAGUGCUGAGAACCUCCAAAGACCAGAGUUCAAAUCUCCGUGUGGGUG